CAUGCAAGUCGGACGGCAGCACAGAGAAGCUUGCUUCUUGGGUGGCGAGUGGCGAACGGGUGAGUAACAUAUCGGAACGUACCGAGUAAUGGGGGAUAACUAAUCGAAAGAUUAGCCAAUACCGCAUAUUCUCUGAGGAGGAAAGCAGGGGACCUUCGGGCCUUGCGUUAUUCGAGCGGCCGAUAUCUGAUUAGCUAGUUGGUGGGGUAAAGGCCUACCAAUGCGACGAUCAGUAGCGGGUCUGAGAGGAUGAUCCGCCACACUGGGACUGAGACACGGCCCAGACUCCUACGGGAGGCAGCAGUGGGGAAUUUUGGACAAUGGGCGCAAGCCUGAUCCAGCCAUGCCGCGUGUCUGAAGAAGGCCUUCGGGUUGUAAAGGACUUUUGUCAGGGAAGAAAAGGCUGUCGCUAAUACCGACAGUUGAUGACGGUACCUGAAGAAUAAGCACCGGCUAACUACGUGCCAGCAGCCGCGGUAAUACGUAGGGUGCAAGCGUUAAUCGGAAUUACUGGGCGUAAAGCGAGCGCAGACGGUUACUUAAGCAGGAUGUGAAAUCCCCGGGCUCAACCUGGGAACUGCGUUCUGAACUGGGUGACUAGAGUGUGUCAGAGGGAGGUAGAAUUCCACGUGUAGCAGUGAAAUGCGUAGAGAUGUGGAGGAAUACCGAUGGCGAAGGCAGCCUCCUGGGAUAACACUGACGUUCAUGCUCGAAAGCGUGGGUAGCAAACAGGAUUAGAUAUCCUGGUAGUCCACGCCCUAAACGAUGUCAAUUAGCUGUUGGGCAACUUGAUUGCUUAGUAGCGUAGC
rnacentral:rRNA from 1 species